AGCGUACACGGUGGAUGCCCUGGCAGUCAGAGGCGAUGAAGGACGUGCUAAUCUGCGAUAAGCGUCGGUAAGGUGAUAUGAACCGUUAUAACCGGCGAUUUCCGAAUGGGGAAACCCAGUGUGUUUCGACACACUAUCAUUAACUGAAUCCAUAGGUUAAUGAGGCGAACCGGGGGAACUGAAACAUCUAAGUACCCCGAGGAAAAGAAAUCAACCGAGAUUCCCCCAGUAGCGGCGAGCGAACGGGGAGGAGCCCAGAGCCUGAAUCAGUGUGUGUGUUAGUGGAAGCGUCUGGAAAGGCGCGCGAUACAGGGUGACAGCCCCGUACACAAAAAUGCACAUAUUGUGAGCUCGAUGAGUAGGGCGGGACACGUGGUAUCCUGUCUGAAUAUGGGGGGACCAUCCUCCAAGGCUAAAUACUCCUGACUGACCGAUAGUGAACCAGUACCGUGAGGGAAAGGCGAAAAGAACCCCGGCGAGGGGAGUGAAAAAGAACCUGAAACCGUGUACGUACAAGCAGUGGGAGCCUCUUUUAUGGGGUGACUGCGUACCUUUUGUAUAAUGGGUCAGCGACUUAUAUUCUGUAGCAAGGUUAACCGAAUAGGGGAGCCGAAGGGAAACCGAGUCUUAACUGGGCGUUAAGUUGCAGGGUAUAGACCCGAAACCCGGUGAUCUAGCCAUGGGCAGGUUGAAGGUUGGGUAACACUAACUGGAGGACCGAACCGACUAAUGUUGAAAAAUUAGCGGAUGACUUGUGGCUGGGGGUGAAAGGCCAAUCAAACCGGGAGAUAGCUGGUUCUCCCCGAAAGCUAUUUAGGUAGCGCCUCGUGAACUCAUCUCCGGGGGUAGAGCACUGUUUCGGCAAGGGGGUCAUCCCGACUUACCAACCCGAUGCAAACUGCGAAUACCGGAGAAUGUUAUCACGGGAGACACACGGCGGGUGCUAACGUCCGUCGUGAAGAGGGAAACAACCCAGACCGCCAGCUAAGGUCCCAAAGUCAUGGUUAAGUGGGAAACGAUGUGGGAAGGCCCAGACAGCCAGGAUGUUGGCUUAGAAGCAGCCAUCAUUUAAAGAAAGCGUAAUAGCUCACUGGUCGAGUCGGCCUGCGCGGAAGAUGUAACGGGGCUAAACCAUGCACCGAAGCUGCGGCAGCGACACUAUGUGUUGUUGGGUAGGGGAGCGUUCUGUAAGCCUGUGAAGGUGUGCUGUGAGGCAUGCUGGAGGUAUCAGAAGUGCGAAUGCUGACAUAAGUAACGAUAAAGCGGGUGAAAAGCCCGCUCGCCGGAAGACCAAGGGUUCCUGUCCAACGUUAAUCGGGGCAGGGUGAGUCGACCCCUAAGGCGAGGCCGAAAGGCGUAGUCGAUGGGAAACAGGUUAAUAUUCCUGUACUUGGUGUUACUGCGAAGGGGGGACGGAGAAGGCUAUGUUGGCCGGGCGACGGUUGUCCCGGUUUAAGCGUGUAGGCUGGUUUUCCAGGCAAAUCCGGAAAAUCAAGGCUGAGGCGUGAUGACGAGGCACUACGGUGCUGAAGCAACAAAUGCCCUGCUUCCAGGAAAAGCCUCUAAGCAUCAGGUAACAUCAAAUCGUACCCCAAACCGACACAGGUGGUCAGGUAGAGAAUACCAAGGCGCUUGAGAGAACUCGGGUGAAGGAACUAGGCAAAAUGGUGCCGUAACUUCGGGAGAAGGCACGCUGAUAUGUAGGUGAAGUCCCUCGCGGAUGGAGCUGAAAUCAGUCGAAGAUACCAGCUGGCUGCAACUGUUUAUUAAAAACACAGCACUGUGCAAACACGAAAGUGGACGUAUACGGUGUGACGCCUGCCCGGUGCCGGAAGGUUAAUUGAUGGGGUCAGCGCAAGCGAAGCUCUUGAUCGAAGCCCCGGUAAACGGCGGCCGUAACUAUAACGGUCCUAAGGUAGCGAAAUUCCUUGUCGGGUAAGUUCCGACCUGCACGAAUGGCGUAAUGAUGGCCAGGCUGUCUCCACCCGAGACUCAGUGAAAUUGAACUCGCUGUGAAGAUGCAGUGUACCCGCGGCAAGACGGAAAGACCCCGUGAACCUUUACUAUAGCUUGACACUGAACAUUGAGCCUUGAUGUGUAGGAUAGGUGGGAGGCUUAGAAGUGUGGACGCCAGUCUGCAUGGAGCCGACCUUGAAAUACCACCCUUUAAUGUUUGAUGUUCUAACGUUGACCCGUGAUCCGGGUUGCGGACAGUGUCUGGUGGGUAGUUUGACUGGGGCGGUCUCCUCCUAAAGAGUAACGGAGGAGCACGAAGGUUGGCUAAUCCUGGUCGGACAUCAGGAGGUUAGUGCAAUGGCAUAAGCCAGCUUGACUGCGAGCGUGACGGCGCGAGCAGGUGCGAAAGCAGGUCAUAGUGAUCCGGUGGUUCUGAAUGGAAGGGCCAUCGCUCAACGGAUAAAAGGUACUCCGGGGAUAACAGGCUGAUACCGCCCAAGAGUUCAUAUCGACGGCGGUGUUUGGCACCUCGAUGUCGGCUCAUCACAUCCUGGGGCUGAAGUAGGUCCCAAGGGUAUGGCUGUUCGCCAUUUAAAGUGGUACGCGAGCUGGGUUUAGAACGUCGUGAGACAGUUCGGUCCCUAUCUGCCGUGGGCGCUGGAGAACUGAGGGGGGCUGCUCCUAGUACGAGAGGACCGGAGUGGACGCAUCACUGGUGUUCGGGUUGUCAUGCCAAUGGCACUGCCCGGUAGCUAAAUGCGGAAGAGAUAAGUGCUGAAAGCAUCUAAGCACGAAACUUGCCCCGAGAUGAGUUCU
rnacentral:rRNA from 1 species